AACAGUUGGGAUCCCCAACUCUAAAUUAAAUGAAAUAUAGGGGGAGUCCCUGCAGUUAUCUGAUUGAGAAAUUGGAAACAGUUGAGAUCACCACCUUUAAAUUAAACCAUAUAUAUUCAUGUAUGAGAACUAAUCAAAUGAAAUAUAGGGAGAGUCCUUAUGGUCACCCUACCCACUCCUGUUUGAUACUUAGAAACAUAUGAGAUCCCCACCCCUCAACCAUAUCUAUUCAUGUAUUGGACAAUAUAACAAAUCAAAUGAAAUAUAGGGGAAGUCACUGGGGUCCCCCACCCCUCCUGUUUGAAAACUUGAUAACGGUCGAGAUCCCCACCCAUAAACCAUAUAUAUAUUCAUGUAUGGGACAAUAUAAAAAAUCAAAUCAAAAAUAGGGGUAGUCCCUAGGGUCCCCUCACACCCUCUUGUGUGUGUUUUGAGAAC
rnacentral:lncRNA from 1 species